AAUGAACGUUGGCGGCGUGGAUUAGGCAUGCAAGCCGAGCGAGAACCCAGCAAUGGGGGACAGCGGCGAAAGGGACAGUAAUGUGUAGAUCAUCUGCCCUCAGGCCCGGGAUAGCUGCGGGAAACUGCAGGUAAUACCGGAUAAUAUCUCCGGAUCAAAGGUGUGAUUCCGCCUGGGGAUGAGUCUACAUCCUAUUAGCUUGUUGGUGGGGUAAUGGCCUACCAAGGCGAUGAUGGGUAGCGGGUGUGAGAGCACGACCCGCGUCAUUGGGACUGAGACACUGCCCAGACACCUACGGGUGGCUGCAGUCGAGAAUCUUCGGCAAUGGGCGCAAGCCUGACCGAGCGACGCCGCGUGCGGGAUGAAGGCCUUCGGGUUGUAAACCGCUGUCAGAGGGGAUGAAAUGCAGGUGGGUUCUCCCAUCUGUUUGACAUAGCCUCAGAGGAAGGACGGGCUAAGUUCGUGCCAGCAGCCGCGGUAACAC
rnacentral:rRNA from 1 species